ensembl:lncRNA
GAUGGUUUGAAUUUCGGUGGAAUCAGUGGUGAUUUCCCCUUUAUUGUUUUUAUUGCAUUUAUUUGGUUAUUCUCUCUCUUUUUUUUUUUUAUCACUCUGGCUUGUGAUCAGUCUAUUUUGUUGAUCUUUUCAAAAAACCAGCUCUUAGAUUUAUUGAUUUUUUGAAGGGUUUUUCCUGUCUCUGUCUCCUUCAGUUCUGCUCUGAUCUUAGUUAUUUCUUUUUUUUUUUUUUUUUUUUUUUUUUUUUUUUUUUUUUUUUUUGAGACAGAGUUUCUCUCUUGUUACCCAGGCUGGAGUGCAAUGCGCGAUCUCGGCUCACCGCAACCUCCGCCUCCUGGGUUCAGGGAAUUCUCCUGCCUCAGCCUCCUGAGUAGCUGGGAUUACAGGCAUGCACCACCAUGCCCAGCUAAUUUUUUGUAAUUUUUAGUAGAGACAGGGUUUCACCAUGUUGACCAGGGUGGUCUCGAUCUGUUGACCUCGUGAUCCACCCGCCUCGGCCUCCCAAAGAGCUGGGAUUACAGGCUUUAGCCACCGCGCCCGGCCGUUAUUUCUUGUCUUCUUCUAGCUUUUGAGUUUUUUUAAUCUUGCCCCUCUAGCUCUUUCAAUUUUGACCAUAGGGUGCCAAUUUUGGAUCUCUCUGCUCUUCUCAUAUGGGCACUUAUUGCUAUAUAUUUUCCUCUAGAGACUGCUUUAAAUGUGUCCCAGAGAUUCUGGCAUGUUGUGUCUUCGUUCUCAUUGGUUUCGAAGAACCUCUUUAUUUCUGCCUUCAUUUUCUUCUAGGGUUUUUAUGGUGCCAGGUCUUAUGUUUAAGUCUUUAAUCCAUCUGGAGUUAAUUUUAGUGUAAGGUGUCAGGAAGGGGUCCAGUUUCUGCUUUCUGCACAUGGCUAGCCAGUUUUCCCAACACCAUUUGUUAAACAUGGAAUCCUUGCCCCAUUGCUUGUUUUUGUCAGGUUUAUCAAAGAUUGUAUAGUUGUAUGUAUGUUGUGUUGCCUCCGGUGCCUCUGUUUUGUUCCAUUGGUCUAUAUCUCUGUUUUGGUACCAGUACCAUGCUGUUUUGAUUAAUGUAGCCUUGUAGUAUAGUUUGAAAUCUGGUAGUGUGAUGCCCCCCGCUGUGUUCUUUUUGCUUAGAAUUGACUUGGCUAUGCGGGCUCUCUUUUAGUUCCAUAUGAAGUUCAUGGUGGUUUUUUCCAGUUCUGUGAAGAAAGUCAAUGGUAGCCUGAUGGGGAUAGCGUUGAUUCUGUAAAUUACUUUGGGCAGUAUAGCCAUUUUCACGAUAUUAAUUCUUCCUAACCAUGAACAUGGAAUGUUUCUCCAUCUGUUUGUGUCCUCUCUUAUUUCGUUGAGCAGUGGUUUGUAGUUCUCCUUGAAGAGGUCUCUUAUGUUCCUUGUGAGUUGUAUUCCAAGGUAUUUUAUUCUUUGUGUAGCAAUUGCGAAUGGCAGUUCGCUCUUGAUUUGGCUUUCUUUAAGUCUGUUAUUGGUGUAGACGAAUGCUUGUGAUUUUUGCACAUUGAUUUUAUAUCCUGAGACUUCACUGAAGUUGCUUAUCAGUUUCAGGAGUUUUUGGGCUGAGGCAAUGGGGUCUUCUAGGUAUACUAUCAUGUCGUCUGCAAAUAGAGACAAUUUGGCUUCCACCUUUCCUAUUUGAAUACCCUUUAUUUCUUUUUCUUGCCUGAUUGCUCUGGCUAGAACCUCCAG